rnacentral:rRNA from 1 species
CAAUAGCGUAUAUUAAAGUUGUUGCAGUUAAAAAGCUCGUAGUUGGGUUUGUGGCGUACGGUGUGUUCCGGGCACUUGUUGUCUGAGUAACCUGCUGUUGCCAUCCUUGGGUGGAACCUGUGUGGCAUUAGGUUGUCGUGCAGGGGAUGCCCAUCAUUUACUGUGAAAAAAUUAGAGUGUUCAAAGCAGGCUUAUGCCGUUGAAUAUAUUAGCAUGGAAUAAUGAGAUAGGACUUUUUUGCUAUUUUGUUGGUUUGCGCAAGAAGGUAAUGAUUAAUAGGGACAGUUGGGGGUAUUCGUAUUCCAUUGUCAGAGGUGAAAUUCUUGGAUUUUUGGAAGACGAACUACUGCGAAAGCAUUUACCAAGGAUGUUUUCAUUAA